UACGUAGGGGGCUAGCGUUGUCCGGAAUUACUGGGUGUAAAGGGCGUGUAGGCGGGAUAUUAAGUCAGAUGUGAAAUACCGAGGCUCAACUUCGGGGCUGCAUCUGAAACUAAUAUUCUUGAGUGCAGGAGAGGAAAGCGGAAUUCCAAGUGUAGCGGUGAAAUGCGUAGAUAUUUGGAGGAACACCAGUGGCGAAGGCGGCUUUCUGGACUGUAACUGACGCUGAGGCGCGAAAGCGUGGGGAG
rnacentral:rRNA from 1 species